AGGCGCCUGAGUGAGGUCAUCUCCCCAGUCCCGUCCAGCUCUGAGCACCCUGCGAUACCCGGGGGAUAGUGAAGAUGGAUCAUUGUUUCAGCUUUACCAGAGUGGUAGGUGUUCAUUGGAGCCCUUGCUCUGCUCCUGGCCGGCUGGGUGACCUGGACCCUGCUUCCUUAACCGCGCGGAGCCUCGGACUCCUCCUCUCCCCGAGAAGAUGAGGACGCCCGCCUCACCGCGCUGUCGCUGGGGUCGGACGAGAAGCCCUCUGCAAACCUUCAGUGCGGUGUGAACAUGAGUGGUUGUCAUUUAACAAAUAAUAUCGCCUAUGGAAGCCUUUGGAAAUAGAAGUCCUCGGAAUAAAGCAGAAAGCUGUGGAACUCCAGGCACCUGUCUUAAUCUCUCGAAGACCACUUUCCACGCGGGCACUGUUCUAGAUGGUCACUGUAGUACAGAAGACAGGACAGAGCCCCCGUCCUCCUGGAGUGGGCGUUCCAGGACGGGGAAAGCUCUGAGAGGCGACGUGGAAGUCUCACGAGGUGGAGGGGCCAGCCAGGGGCAAGACCAGAGCGUCUGAAGCAUGAGAAGGAAGGCCGUGUCUGGAGUCUGGAGCGCGCAGAUGGAGGAGCCCGAGGGCAAGGCAGAUGAGAUGCCGCCUCGAACACGGAGAAAGGGAGAAGGCCAUGGGGUUCGUUUAAAAGCUGCUUGCCUGGCAUGUGAUAAAUUCCUCCAAUACUUGUCCCGUGAAUGGACAGAGACGUUUGUUGGGGACUUUGGGGGUGUGUUGUCAGUGGCUUAGGAGGAAUAAAAGGCACAUUGAAGGCCCCUGCAGUAUGAAUAAUGAGGGAACAAGAGACCAUGGCAACCAAUCACGAGGGCAACGGUGGCCGCCGGAGGCGGUCACACACGAGGACAGACAAGCGUCCCCAAGCCCUGACCUGUGCGGGGCUGCCGCUAAGGAGGGUGCCCGCCUGCUCUCCUCUCGUCUGAGGUUGGCCGACUCACCCGGCUCGCCUGGGGCUGUCCCACUUUUCAUCCUGAGAGCCCCGGAAAGCCCCAGAAAAGUCCUAGCCAACACCAUUUCAUCGUCACGAAAACGGAGGGACAGUUAUCCCCCUCAUGUCAGCGAUGAGGAGGACACCAGCCACAGAGAGGUGACUCGCCCAGGGUCCCACAGGUGAAGUGGCAGAGCCGGUGCGCAAAGCCACGGGGUUCCGGAGCCCUCACCGGUCCCUGCUGCCUUUCACGGGGUCGAGCGAAUUUCAGUUCCUGGUGCAAAAGCGUUUCUUCCGCCCUGGCUGGUGUAGCUUGGUGGAUUGAGCGCGGGCUGCGAAUUAAGGGGUCACCGGUUCGGUUCCCAGUCAGGGCACAUGCCUGGGAUGCGGGCC